AACGAACGCUGGCGGCAUGCCUAACACAUGCAAGUCGAACGAGACCUUCGGGUCUAGUGGCUCACGGGUGCGUAACGCGUUGGAACCUGCCCUUAGGAUCUGAAUAACUCCCCGGAAGGGGUGCUAAUACCGGAUAAUGUCUUCGGACCAAAGAUUUAUCGCCUUUGGAUGGGCCCGCGUUGUAUUAGCUAGUUGGUAGGGUAAAAGCCUACCAAGGCGACGAUCCAUAGCUGGUCUGAGAGGAUGAUCAGCCACACUGGGACGGAGACACGGCCCAGACUCCUACGGGCGGCAGCAGUGGGGAAUAUUGGACAAUGGGCGAAAGCCUGAUCCAGCAAUGCCGCGUGAGUGAUGAAGGCCUUAGGGUUGUCAAGCUCUUUUACCCGGGAUGAUAAUGACAGUACCGGGAGAAUAAGCUCCGGCUAACUCCGUG
rnacentral:rRNA from 1 species